GAAAAACUGAUGGGAAAUCUAAGAUAAAAGGAUAAAAAUACCACUCGAGCUCUCAACAGCGUAAUGACAGCUCAACUAAGCUAUUCCCUUUGCCAGUUCUGGUGCCCAUUAUUCUUCUGUUAGAGACCCUUCGGUACUGGAAAUUAAAGAUUUCUCGCAUCAUCUUGAAGGUAAUCGAUAUGAUGAGUGGUUGACUGAUCAUGGCAGCUCUUGCUCCGUUGGAAUUCAUUUUCGGUUUGGAAGAUCUCUAUAUCAUGAUUUCGUAACGGUAGUUGUUUAGUUGACUUGUAAGUCGAUUUACUUGGUCAAAACUCUUUGAUUUUUUUAAAUAAUAUUAUUUUAAUUUUUUUAAAACAGGAUUGAGUUUAGUAAAUAUAUUUUUUUCCUUCCUUGUGCUUUAGUCGCAAUUAAAAUUAUUUAAAAAAAAAAAAAACAGGUCCUUUCCCUUAAAGAAAACACCAGUUAAACAAAUUUAGCAUUUUCAUUCAUGGAUUAAUUGAAUUUCUUUCAAGGUGUUCUAAUUGAUUGAUUUUGUCGCGUUGCUGACUUUUGUCUUGACAUCAGUUUAGUGGAUUCCAGCCUCUAAAUAUAUAAAAUAAAAAAUUAUAAUCAUCACAAUCUUCGUUUCAAGAUUCUUGGCUGGCUAUGAUUUGUUUGAAUUAAUUAUUGAAGUGGGCCCCUGACAAAGGACAACAUGAUCACACUAACUCCACAGACAAAACGACGUAAACAAGCCACAUGCAUGGACCUGACCGCCCUCAAUGCAGCCUUGGCUGCAUUUUUCACAGCAAGAGUUCGCUACCAAACCAACUUACCUUUCUCUGACUCCAUCUACCCUAGGUUUGUUUGGUAGUGUGGUUGUUGUUGCUUUUCAAAUAGCUUUUCAUAUUAAAAUACAUGCUAAUGAUUUUUUUUAUUUUUUAAAAAUCAUUUUUGACAUCAGCACAUCAAAAUGAUUUGAAAACACUAAAAACAUAUUAAUUUGAAGUUAAUAAAAAAAUAAAAAAUUUUCAAAUUUUGUUAAAAGCGCUUUUAAAACGCAGAAACAAACAGGCCGUAUCGCUCCUCGAACCUCGGCUAAACUUACAAACCCGUCAUCCACUUCGUUUAUUGGCAAAGCAAGUUUCAUUUCUUCCGAUUCAACAAUAAGGUUGCUGGGUACAGAAGUGAUGAGCAUGUGAAUAGAUAGGGAAGGUUGCUGGGUCAACAACAGUUUGCCUAGCUCCACCAUAGAUAUCAACCGGCCAAUCGGAGAAGCGUGGCCUCUUGUAUGGCUCCUUGUGGCCUUUCCUAUGGCGGUAUAUUUUAACAGGAAAAAAAGAGAGGCUAGAAGCAGCAUCUUGGCAUGGAAUAGGGACAGAUAUGUGCUGUUCCACCAAGAUUUUCAAUGAUUUGUUUACAUAUUAAAUAAUUGAUAUCAGGUCUUUCACCUUGGUUUCUCA